rnacentral:misc_RNA from 1 species
ACACGAUCAGAUAAAGUGGGAGAGGCUGAGCUGGAGUACAGGGAGUUGAAGUUAGAGAGCGAGGAAGCAACAAGAAGAUUUGAGAAUAUUGUGAGUGAUGAAUGAAGAGAUGGUGCGUUUUCAAGAUCAGAAAACACUGGAUAUGGGAAUUGCUUUCCACGAAUUUGCGAAAGGACAGGCACGUUUGGCAAAUAACAUUGCAGAUGCUUGGAGAAGUCUCCUUCCUAAGCUUGAAGCAUGUUCGUCGUAAUGUGGAGAUGCCAAAAAGGGAGGACUGAGGAACUGUUCACAUUCUUGGUUCCAACUUCCAAGGAAUGGAAGGUGCAGCUUUUGUAUUGUAAAGACUUGUUACUUACAGGAGUUAGUUCAAGAUUUGCAAUUUAUGUUGUACAAAUUGGAAGCUAAUGGAAAAGGCUGAGUUCAUCCUCUGAUAUAUAAUUAAAAGGGAACAAAACAUGUGAAAUGAUCAAAAUGUAUCUCAAUCUUCAG